UACGAAGGGGGUUAGCGUUGCUCGGAAUCACUGGGCGUAAAGGGUGCGUAGGCGGGUCUUUAAGUCAGAGGUGAAAUCCUGGAGCUCAACUCCAGAACUGCCUUUGAUACUGAGGAUCUUGAGUUCGGGAGAGGUGAGUGGAACUGCGAGUGUAGAGGUGAAAUUCGUAGAUAUUCGCAAGAACACCAGUGGCGAAGGCGGCUCACUGGCCCGAUACUGACGCUGAGGCACGAAAGCGUGGGGAGCAAACAGG
rnacentral:rRNA from 1 species